rnacentral:misc_RNA from 1 species
AACGCACAUUGCGCCCUCCGGUAUUCCGGAGGGCAUGCCUGCUCGAGCGUCAUUUAAAACCCCAAGCUUCGCUUGGUCUUGGGUGCCUGGUUCUGACGACCCACCUAGAACUCGUACCGGCGGUACCGACCGGCUUCAAGCGUAGCAAACCUCUCGCUUCCGAAGCCAGGGCGGCGCCUGCCGACCAACGUGAUCUCAAGUUUGACCUCGGAUCAGGUAGGGAUACCCGCUGAACUUAA